rnacentral:rRNA from 1 species
AUUAAGCUUGUACUGUUUCUUUCCGUCUGAAAGCGGUUUACAACCCGAAGGCCUUCUUCCCGCACGCGGCAUGGCUGGAUCAGGGUUGCCCCCAUUGUCCAAAAUUCCCCACUGCUGCCUCCCGUAGGAGUCUGGACCGUGUCUCAGUUCCAGUGUGGCUGGUCGUCCUCUCAGACCAGCUACGGAUCGUCGCCUUGGUAGGCCUUUACCCUACCAACAAGCUAAUCCGACAUCAGCCGCUCCAUCAGCGUAAGGCCCGAAGGUCCCCCACUUUCCUCCUCAGAGAUUAUGCGGUAUUAAUCCGGCUUUCGCCGGGCUAUCCCCCACAAAUGGAUACGUUCCGAUGCAUUACUCACCCGUUCGCCACUCGUCGCCAGACCGAAGUCCGCGUUACCGUUCGACUUGGAUGUGUAAAGCAUGCCGCCAGCGUUCAAUCUGAGNCAUGGAUCAAACUCUAAUCACUAG